rnacentral:tRNA from 1 species
ACUUAAGUAGUUUAAAUAAAAUAUUGAUUUGUGGUGUCAGUGAUAUAUACAUACAUAUAUCUUGAGUU